GACUGUGUCGCUUAGUGGUUAGAGCAUCUCAUUGUGGUUUCCCUUACUUGACUGCGCUAGCAGAAUAGUAAAUGUUCCUGAGAAGACGGGUGUUCGAUUCACCCCACGGUCA